GAUGAACGCUGGCGGCGUGCCUAACACAUGCAAGUCGAGCGGCAGCGAGGGGUGCUUGCACCCUGUCGGCGAGCGGCGGACGGCUGAGUAACGCGUGGGAACGUGCCCCAAAGUGAGGAAUAACUGCCCGAAAGGGUAGCUAAUACCGCAUAUUAUCUUCGGAUCAAAGGAUUUAUCCGCUUUGGGAGCGGCUCGCGUCGGAUUAGGUAGUUGGUGAGGUAAUGGCUCACCAAGCCGACGAUCCGUAGCUGGUCUGAGAGGAUGACCAGCCAGACUGGAACUGAGACACGGUCCAGACUCCUACGGGAGGCAGCAGUGAGGAAUCUUCCACAAUGGGCGAAAGCCUGAUGGAGCAACGCCGCGUGCAGGACGAAGGCCUUCGGGUUGUAAACUGCUUUUAUAAGUGAGGAGUAUGACGGUAACUUAUGAAUAAGGAUCGGCUAACUACGUG
rnacentral:rRNA from 1 species